rnacentral:rRNA from 1 species
UACAGAGGUCUCAAGCGUUGUUCGGAUUCAUUGGGCGUAAAGGGCGCGUAGGCUGCGGGGUAAGUCGGGUGUGAAAUCUCAGGGCUCAACCCUGAAACUGCACUCGAUACUGCUCUGCUUGAGGACUGGAGAGGAGACUGGAAUUCACGGUGUAGCAGUGAAAUGCGUAGAUAUCGUGAGGAAGACCAGUGGCGAAGCGGGUCUCUGGACAGUUCCUGACGCGUGAGGCGAC